GGUGAAUCAGCGGACUUUGGUGAACUUUCACUGCGAUUUUCAUUGCUCUUUGUCCCUCCAUCGCGGAGAUAUGACGAGAGAAGAAACGGCUUCAUUUUCGGAGUUUGAAAACUGAGAGGAGGACAGAUUUCCACCCCUCAAACAAACGUAAUUCAUUGCUCAACGGGGGCGCUCAUCACCAGCCUGAGGAAGUGUGCAGUGAUAAUGGGGGGAGACGCAGUAUUGUGUGUACUGCAGUCGGACAGAAGGAAAAACUUCCUCCUGAAAAUAUUUUCAUCCUUCACAAAAGUGUAUAAAUACAAUAAAAUACAGGCUCUUACAUAAAGUUAAAGUCAAAAGUCAGUUUUAUUUGUCAAUUUCUUCAAAUGUACUUGCCAUACAAAGGAAUUGAAAUUACGUUUCACACUGUCCCAUGCGUAGACAUUGACAACAAUAAAGUGCAGAUGCACAACAAAAACAGUCCUAACAAUAAGGUAAUAUUAAAUAAAAAAAAAGUGCAGAUAGACUUAAGGCAUUAUAUUUAGGUAACAUACAGGAAGUGUGAUGCAGUUGUGCACUGAGCACCUUUCCAAUGUUCCUUCCUCAGAUGAGUCCAGCUGCUGAACACAUUAACAUCUGUAUGUAAAUGUAGCCGAGAACCAACCUGAGCACUGCUGGGAAAAUAAAAAGGCAAACAUCAAACGUGCUGUAUUAUCUUAUUUAUUUUGAAUGUUGACUCAGAUCCAAACCACGAUUUAUGAAAUUAUAGAACUAAAAUAACAACAAUUGUCUGCUUCUUUAAAAUUUCUUUUAUUACAUCAAACCAGUGAAAAUGAAAGAAACAAAGAGCUGUUAGCAUGUUUAGACCAACUUUGAGACAGAGACUGUAAAGUUCUGCACUUUAAAUCCUGCAAAUGAUUCACCCUGAAAGUAUCUUAGUUUAGUAUAAGUGAGCCACAAAGCAGCCUAAUAGCUUUAAAAACAGUAAAAGUAAAUGAAAUUCCCAGUUUCAGUGUAGCUGGAUCUGAUUAUUGGGGGGUCGUGACCCCCGUAACCCCCCUGGAAAUU
ensembl:lncRNA